rnacentral:lncRNA from 1 species
CGCAACCUUAAUUUUUAUGAAAAAUACCGAACUCUACUAAAAACAUCAAAUAUUAAAUCUACGUGUCAAAACAAAAUCAACUACACUCAUAUUGACUACUUUUGGUUCGGGGUCAAAAUGGACCCCAAAAUAGUUUUCCGAAAAAGAAGGGCGAAUUGGAACUUUACUUCAAAAAUAUGUUCCCCAAAUUUUUAGGAACC